rnacentral:rRNA from 1 species
GGGGAAUAUUGCACAAUGGGCGCAAGCCUGAUGCAGCGACGCCGCGUGGGGGAUGACGGCCUUCGGGUUGUAAACUCCUUUCGCCAGGGACGAAGCGAUAGUGACGGUACCUGGAUAAGAAGCACCGGCUAACUACGUGCCAGCAGCCGCGGUAAUACGUAGGGUGCAAGCGUUGUCCGGAAUUACUGGGCGUAAAGAGCUCGUAGGUGGUUUGUCGCGUCGUUUGUGGAAUACCGCAGCUUAACUGUGGGGUUGCAGGCGAUACGGGCAUAACUUGAGUGCUGUAGGGGAGACUGGAAUUCCUGGUGUAGCGGUGGAAUGCGCAGAUAUCAGGAGGAACACCGAUGGCGAAGGCAGGUCUCUGGGCAGUAACUGACGCUGAGGAGCGAAAGCAUGGGUAGCGAACA